UCUACUUCUUUUCAUUUUCGAAUCAGUAGAAAAACUAAUGUCCAUGAGCUUUCGUUCUAUAUCCCGAGCAUUUAAGUCAUGUAAAACAUUCAUACGGUAACUCUCGGGCAGUUCGGGUGCGAUUUUUUUUUGUGCUGUGUGAUUAGACGCUUUGUCUUGGUGUUGUUUUGUGUCUUUUUCUCAAGGCCAAAUUUCUAAGCCUUUGCUUGCGCAGUGAGGAUUAAACAAUAGCCAGCUACAUAAGCUGGAUCGGUGUGUCGUUAGGAAUUAGUUUAAAGAACCCCAGAACCGCAUGGCAUCAUCUCAAGCGCUACCUAGUAAAGAUGACACUGCUCCGCUGCAUUUCAGUCCAUCACGCUUACGCUGGGACAGCAUAAUUCGUUUGGAAAAUAACUUCGAAGGGGGAGACUGCCAAUCUAUCCGUUGGAUAAUAAUAAAAAAUAUUAUAAAUGAGAGCUGAACAGCUUGUCCCCCAACGUACAUUCACGUGGAUUUUUUUGUUAAUUUCCAAAGGCAAAAAUGGUAUUUAAAUUACAGUGAGCUGAAGCAGAGGAGGUAAUAUAAUUAAUAA